rnacentral:lncRNA from 1 species
GUUGGGCUGGUAACUGUUUCACGCAGCUUUUCCACACUACACAAUACACUUUGGCUACUGUUUGUAUAGUCAGGAAACUGUUAAAAAAACCAAAAACAACCGAAGAAGAAAUAUGUAGGAGAACCUGGGGAAGACAUGGAUUCCUCUACAGCAAUGGUAGAGGAAGUUAUAACUUGAAGUGACAACUAGCCAGGAUGUUCUGACUGAAAGUGUCUGGAGAAGGUUAUGUGGCAGCUGUUACAAAAAAUAUCAACUUAAUCAGGAAAGACAAGAGUGGGCAAGGAAGAAACUCAUGACUACUCCAGCUUGAAUCUCUGUGGUAUAAUUCUGCU